rnacentral:rRNA from 1 species
CCAAGGAGUCUAACAUGUGCGCGAGUCACUCGGUCUUGAAUAGGCCAGAGAGGCGCAAUGAAAGUAAAGUUGAUUGAGUUACGAUCCUCAUGCGGUUACUCUAUUUAAGAGUAACGGUGAGGCGCAGUAACAGCCCGCUAAUUUCGCUUAUUGACGAUAUGGCGGAGUUGUAGCGUACACGUUGGUACCCGAAAGAUGGUGAACUAUGCCUGGGCAAGACGAAGCCAGAGGAAACUCUGGUGGAGGUCUGUAGCGAUUCUGACGUGCAAAUCGAUCGUCAGACCUGGGUAUAGGGGCGAAAGACUAAUCGAACCAUC